AGUGAACGCUGGCGGUAGGCCUAACACAUGCAAGUCGAACGGCAGCACAGUAAGAGCUCGCUCUUACGGGUGGCGAGUGGCGGACGGGUGAGGAGUACAUCGCAAUCUACUUUUUCGUGGGGGAUAACGUAGGGAAACUGACGCUAAUACCGCAUACGACCUACGGGUGAAAGCAGGGGAUCUUCGGACCUUGCGCGAUUGAAUGAGACGAUGUCGGAUUAGCUAGUUGGCGGGGUAAAGGCCCACCAAGGCGACGAUCCGUAGCUGGUCUGAGAGGAUGAUCAGCCACACUGGAACUGAGACACGGUCCAGACUCCUACGGGAGGCAGCAGUGGGGAAUCUUGGACAAUGGGCGCAAGCCUGAUCCAGCCAUACCGCGUGGGUGAAGAAGGCCUUCGGGUUGUAAAGCCCUUUUGUUGGGAAAGAAAAGCAGCAGGUUAAUACCCCGCUGUUCUGACGGUACCCAAAGAAUAAGCACCGGCUAACUUCGUG
rnacentral:rRNA from 1 species